rnacentral:rRNA from 1 species
CCCUUAGAUGUCCUGGGCCGCACGCGUGCUACACUGAUGCAUACAGCGAGUACUUUCCAGCUCCGCGAGGCAGCUGGUAAUCAGCAAUAUGCAUCGUGCUGGGGAUAGAUCUUUGGAAUUAUAGAUCUUGAGCGAGGAAUUCCUAGUAAGCGCAAGUCAUUAGCUUGCGCUGAUUAAGUCCCUGCCCUUUGUACACACCGCCCGUCGCUCCUACCGAUUUCGAGUGAUUCGGUGAACCUUUUGGACAGCGUCUGUCCUCGUGUCAGAUGCUGAAAGUCAAGUAAACCAUAUCACUUAGAGGAAGGAGAAGUCGUAACA